rnacentral:rRNA from 1 species
ACGUAGGGGGCGAGCGUUACCCGGAAUCACUGGGUGUAAAGGGAGCGUAGGUGGCCUAACAUGUCAACUGUGAAAACCCGGAGCUCAACUCCGGACUUGCAUUUGAUACUGGUAGGCUUGAGGACAGGAGAGGAAGACGGAACUGCCAGUGUAGCGGUUAAAUCCGUAGAUAUUGGCAGGAACGCCGGUGGCGAAGGUGGCUUUCUGGGCUGGAUCUGACACUGAUGCUCGAAAGCUAGGGGAGCGAACGG